rnacentral:ncRNA from 16 species
CGCGAUGAAGAAAGCGAACUGCUCUGAGAGAUGAUGAAAAGGGCCUAACAGAGC